GCUGGAUGUGGUAGUGCACUCACUCCUGUAAUCCAGCAGCUUGGGAGGCCGAGGCAGGUGGAUCAUGAGUUCAGAGCCAGCCUAAGCAAUUUAGUGAGACCCUGAGCAACAAAGAGAGACCCUGUCUCUA
rnacentral:sRNA from 1 species